rnacentral:rRNA from 1 species
UACAGAGGGGGCGAGCGUUGUUCGGAAUUACUGGGCGUAAAGGGCGCGUAGGCGGCCUUCUAAGUCGAACGUGAAAUCCCCGGGCUCAACCCGGGAACUGCGUCCGAUACUGGGAGGCUUGAAUCCGGGAGAGGGAUGUGGAAUUCCAGGUGUAGCGGUGGAAAUGCGUAGAUAUCUGGAGGAACACCGGUGGCGAAGGCGGCAUCCUGGACCGGUAUUGACGCUGAGGCAC